rnacentral:rRNA from 1 species
GACGAACGCUGGCGGCGUGCUUAACACAUGCAAGUCGAACGGAAAGGCCCUGCUUUUGUGGGGUGCUCGAGUGGCGAACGGGUGAGUAACACGUGAGUAACCUGCCCUUGACUUUGGGAUAACUUCAGGAAACUGGGGCUAAUACCGGAUAGGAGCUCCUGCUGCAUGGGGGGGGUUGGAAAGUUUCGGCGGUUGGGGAUGGACUCGCGGCUUAUCCGCUUGUUGGUGGGGUAGUGGCUUACCAAGGCUUUGACGGGUAGCCGGCCUGAGAGGGUGACCGGCCACAUUGGGACUGAGAUACGGCCCAGACUCCUACGGGAGGCAGCAGUGGGGAAUAUUGCACAAUGGGCGGAAGCCUGAUGCAGAAACGCCGCGUGCGGGAUGACGGCCUUCGGGUUGUAAACCGCUUUCGACUGUGACGAAGAGUGCGUGACGGUAAUGGGUAAAGAAGCACCGGCUAACUACGUG